UACGGAGGGUGCGAGCGUUGUCCGGAAUCAUUGGGCGUAAAGGGCGCGUAGGUGGCCCGGUCAGCGUGCGGUGAAAGCUCGGGGCUCAACCCCGAGUCGGCCGUGCGAACUGCUGGGCUUGAGCACUGUAGAGGCAGGCGGAAUUCCGGGUGUAGCGGUGGAAUGCGUAGAGAUCCGGAAGAACACCGGUGGCGAAGGCGGUCGACUGGGCCAGUACUGACGCUGAGGCGCGACAGCGUGGGGAGCAAACAGG
rnacentral:rRNA from 1 species